AGUGAACGCUGGCGGUAGGCCUAACACAUGCAAGUCGAACGGCAGCACAGUAAGAUUUUGCUCUUACGGGUGGCGAGUGGCGGACGGGUGAGGAAUACAUCGGAAUCUACUUUUUCGGGGGGGAUAACGGAGGGAAACUUACGAUAAUACCGCAUACGACCUACCGGUGAAAGCAGGGGAUCUUCGCAGCUUGCGCGAUUGAAUGAGCCGAUGUCGGAUUAGCUAGUUGGCGGGGUAAAGGCCCACCAAGGCGACGAUCCGUAGCUGGUCUGAGAGGAUGAUCAGCCACACUGGAACUGAGACACGGUCCAGACUCCUACGGGAGGCAGCAGUGGGGAAUAUUGGACAAUGGGCGCAAGCCUGAUCCAGCCAUGCCGCGUGGGUGAAGAAGGCCUUCGGGUUGUAAAGCCCUUUUGUUGGGAAAGAAAAGCAGCAGGUUUAUACCCCGCUGUUCUGACGGUACCCAAAGAAUAAGCACCGGCUAACUUCGUG
rnacentral:rRNA from 1 species